rnacentral:lncRNA from 1 species
GGGAGGUCACCUAAGACCACUAGAAAACACAGAUACAUACAUUAUGAUUUAUAACAGUUGCAAAAACAUAGUUAUGAAGCAGCAAAAAAAAAAAUGUUGGGGGUCACUACAGCAUAAGGAACCAUACGUAUCAACGGGUUUGCAGAAUCAGGGAGGUUGAGAACCGCUGUAUCAGAGGGCCCUCGCACUUGGGAGGUAGAGGCAGGAGGCUUCAGAAUUUCAAGGCUGGUCUCAGUUUUGUAUGAACCUCUAGUGAGCUCCAGACUAGCCUGAGCUACAGAGUAAGCCCCGUCUCAGAACAGUAACAAAAGAAAACUGUAAUAACAGGAAGCCCUGAAGCCAUGUCCUGAAAACUGAAAGCAACAAUCUCCGUAGUCCAAUCAUAGUUGGUAGUUCAGCUCGGUUCAGUUACAUUGUGUCCUGCUGGUACGUAGGAUACGCCCAGGCCCUUGAGUGAGCUAGGCACACCCUCUACCACUCACUGUGCACCAGCCAUUAUUAGACCUUUUCCUUUCAGAUUUAUUCUAUGUGUCUGAGUGGUUUGCCUACAUGUAUAUCUGUGCACCGUGAGUGUGCCUGGUGCCCACAGAGGUAAGAGCGGGUGUUAGAUCCCAAGUAACUGGAGUUACAGACAGUUGUGAGCCAUCAUGUGGGUGCUGGGAACUGAAUCCAAGUCCUCUGCGUGAGCAGCCGUGCUCUUAACCAUCUCUCUGACCCCCUUAUUAGUUUUUAAUUGGCACAAAAAAAAGCAAGACAUAAAGAGCCAUUUCUGAAUAUCAGAAAAGAACAAAAGGAAUCGAUCUUUGCAGUUGGUGUGUACACCAAGAAUUCAACCACGAGGCACUGGAAUUUAUAGAGAAAUUUAGAAACUUACAAGAUUUCAGAUAAAGCAAUUUAGCUGGGCAGUGGUGACACACACCUUUAGUCCCAAUACUCAGGAGGCAGAGACAGUCGGAUCUCUUAAGUUUGAGGCCAGCCUGACCUGCAAGUCCCUGGACAGCCAGAGCUACACAGAGAAACCCUGUCUUGAAAAACC